CAAGAUGCGAAGAGCAUGCCACGGCAGAAGUGACUGGGUCGAUAGGAAGUGGAAAGGAGGGGUAAUAAACCACAGCAUUCAGAAGGAUUCCUUCAGCUGUGGUGUAUUGGUGAUGCAGAUGGCAGAGGUGGUGUUGGAGCUCCUUCCCAAUAUCCCUCAAGACAUGAAGUUUGACACUUUGAAAAACGCAAUGUCAGUCAAGAGAUGCCAGAUGGCAACAGAGAUUCUGGAGUGCUCAGGUAUGGAGAGUUAAAUUGGAGAUUACGUCUGAUUGAAUUCAAUAUUAACUUUUGGCUUGAAAUAUACUUGCAUUUUGUUCCAGUCUUUGAUGAAAACAAUGACAAUGAAUGUUCACUGUGCGGAACAGACAAGCCCUCGGGAUGUGGACCAAAUACAAUAUGGAUCCAGUGUGACUCUUGUCAAAGAUGGUUCCAUCAGGUAUGCCUUGGCAUGACUACACCUGUCCUUAAUAAAGUCAAGAGAAGAAUAUGGAAGUGUUGCCUUUGUCACUGACCGUCUUCUAAAAACCCAGGAUUUUGACACCAAGGUUGAUGAGGUGGCUGCUAUAUGUCUGCUGCAAUUAUUUUUCUUUCAUCCAAAUAAUUAAUUUUAUUCAUUUGCUUAUUUCUUUAGUCUCAAUCCCUUUUAGCACAACAUUUUCUUUGUAUUGAUUUGAAUAUUUUAUUAAAACUUAUGGGGGAAAACACAAUUCUGUGGCUCUUGUUCUGUAUAUAACUGUUUGGAAUGUGUUUAGUUGCAUUGUUAUAAAAGAGCUAUUAUAAUUAAUUAAUUCAUCCGGUUAUUCCAUUCAGAUGCCUUCAAUCACAGCACAUUCUGGAGACAUUACAUCAACCUCAUCUUCAAACA